rnacentral:rRNA from 2 species
UUUAACGGGAGUAAAACACGAUACCGAAGCUACGGGCACAUUUGUGCGUUAGAGGAGCGUUCUUAGGGCAAUGAAGUCAGACCGUAAGGACUGGUGGAGCGCUAAGAAGUGAGAAUGCCGGUAUGAGUAACGAUUCGUAGUGAGAAUCUACGACGCCUAUUGGGGAAGGUUUCCUGGGCAAGGUUCGUCCACCCAGGGUUAGUCAGGACCUAAGGCGAGGCUGAAAAGCGUAGUCGAUGGACAACAGGUUAAUAUUCCUGUACUUUCUUUAAAUGUGAUGGAGUGACGGAGAAGGAUAAUCAUACCUAUUACUGGAUUUAGGGGUAAAUGAUAACUGGUGAUUGUAGGCAAAUCCGCAAUCUAUAACCGGGAGUUAUGAUGCAUAGAGUCUUGCGACUUGAAUUUGAUGAUUUCAUGCUUCCUAAAAAAGCUUCUAAAC